UGAAAAGCAGUAACGCCAUCUGGCCCCUGA
rnacentral:piRNA from 1 species